rnacentral:rRNA from 1 species
AGUGAACGCUGGCGGUAGGCCUAACACAUGCAAGUCGAACGGCAGCACAGUAAAAGCUUGCUCUUACGGGUGGCGCGUGGCGGACGGGCGAGGAAUACAUCGGAAUCUACUUUUUCGUGGGGGAUAACGUAGGGAAACUUACGCUAAUACCGCAUACGACCUACGGGUGAAAGCAGGGGAUCUUCGGACCUUGCUCGAUUGAAUGAGCCGAUGUCGGAUUAGCUAGUUGGGGGGGGAAAGGCCUACCAAGGCGACGAUGCGUAGGUGGCAUGAGAGGCUGAUCAGCCACAUUGUAAGUGAGACACGGUCCAGACUCCGAGAGGAGGCAGCAGUGGAGAAUCUUGGGCGAGGGAGGCGAGGCUGAUCCAGCAAUACCGCGUGGGGGAAGAAGGCGUUCGGGUGGGAAAGCGCUGUUGUUGUGAGAGAAGAACAGCAGGUUUGUACCGCGAGGUACUGACGGUACCGAAAGAAUAAGCCCCGGCUAACUUCGUG